rnacentral:rRNA from 1 species
UACGAAGGGGGCAAGCGUUGUUCGGAAUUAUUGGGCGUAAAGGGAGCGUAGGCGGUUCGGCAAGUCUUUAGUGAAAUCUCUGGGCUCAACUCAGAGUCUGCUGGAGAAACUGCCGGGCUGGAGUAUGGGAGAGGUGAGUGGAAUUCCCGGUGUAGCAGUGAAAUGCGUAGAUAUCGGGAGGAACACCUGUGGCGAAAGCGGCUCACUGGACCAUUACUGACGCUGAUGCUCGAAAGCUAGGGGAGCAAACAGG